GCCCACAUCACAUUGAAAGAGGUUCCUGUAUGAUCACCAAAGUUAAGCAAUGUUGAGCCUGAUUAGUACUUAAAUGGGUGACCACUUGUGAAUACCAGGUGCUGUAAG